rnacentral:tmRNA from 1 species
AAACUUGUCCUUGCGAGCAGGAACGCCUAUCUUGGCUCCUGCCGGGGCAACCCGGCUAUGUCGGUAGAUUGUCGGGUGGAAUAGGCAUUUCGGACCCGGGGGGCAGUACCCCGGCGCCUCCACCACCAGCCGCCGUUUCGACGGUUGCUGAUGGGGGCGAAAUAGGAUCGACGAGUGCAAUAAAGGCCUGGUUGCCGAUCGGCUUGAGCCACCGUGACGGUUCAUUCACACAAGUGCCAACGAUAACGAGGCGCUCGCAAUUGCUGCGUAACUGACGGCCUAACGGUCUAAGUUACAAAGACAAAAGCGCGGUCGGACCCCACCGGGCAACAGAAGGGGAUUCCAGCGGCACGGGAGGCGCCGGGCAACAGAAGCCUCCCACU